rnacentral:lncRNA from 1 species
UGGAAGGUAGUUUGGUUAAUGUGAUGUGGUGGUGAUGGUUGUAGGUUUUAAUAGUUGGUGAUAGUGAUUCAAUGUAUGAAGGAGAAUGUGUAUGUUAUUAAUGGUGAUCAAUGGUGUUGGUGAAUAUGAAAGAUGAAUGUGAUGGUGUGGUAUUUUGUUAAUAUGGUUUGAGGAUGGUCAAAACACGUGAGAGGGAGAGAGCUUUUUUUAAAUGGCUUUUUUUCCUUAAUUUUUU